rnacentral:rRNA from 1 species
GACGAACGCUGGCGGCGUGCGUAAUACAUGCAAGUCGAGCGGACAGAUGGGAGCUUGCUCCUGAUGUUAGCGGCGGACGGGUGAGUAACACGUGGGUAACCUGCCUGUAAGACUGGGAUAACUCCGGGAAACCGGGGCUAAUACCGGAUGGUUGUUUGAACCGCAUGGUUCAAACAUAAAAGGUGGCUUCGGCUACCACUUACAGAUGGACCCGCGGCGCAUUAGCUAGUUGGUGAGGUAACGGCUCACCAAGGCGACGAUGCGUAGCCGACCUGAGAGGGUGAUCGGCCACACUGGGACUGAGACACGGCCCAGACUCCUACGGGAGGCAGCAGUAGGGAAUCUUCCGCAAUGGACGAAAGUCUGACGGAGCAACGCCGCGUGAGUGAUGAAGGUUUUCGGAUCGUAAAGCUCUGUUGUUAGGGAAGAACAAGUACCGUUCGAAUAGGGCGGUACCUUGACGGUACCUAACCAGAAAGCCACGGCUAACUACGUGCCAGCAGCCGCGGUAAUACGUAGGUGGCAAGCGUUGUCCGGAAUUAUUGGGCGUAAAGGGCUCGCAGGCGGUUUCUUAAGUCUGAUGUGAAAGCCCCCGGCUCAACCGGGGAGGGUCAUUGGAAACUGGGGAACUUGAGUGCAGAAGAGGAGAGUGGAAUUCCACGUGUAGCGGUGAAAUGCGUAGAGAUGUGGAGGAACACCAGUGGCGAAGGCGACUCUCUGGUCUGUAACUGACGCUGAGGAGCGAAAGCGUGGGGAGCGAACAGGAUUAGAUACCCUGGUAGUCCACGCCGUAAACGAUGAGUGCUAAGUGUUAGGGGGUUUCCGCCCCUUAGUGCUGCAGCUAACGCAUUAAGCACUCCGCCU